rnacentral:rRNA from 1 species
GACGAACGCUGGCGGCGUGCUUAACACAUGCAAGUCGAACGGAAAGGCCCUGCUUUUGUGGGGUGCUCGAGUGGCGAACGGGUGGGUAACACGUGAGUAACCUGCCCUUGACUUUGGGAUAACUUCAGGAAACUGGGGCUAAUACCGGAUAGGAGCUCCCGCUGCAUGGUGGGGGUUGGAAAGUUUCGGCGGUUGGGGAUGGACUCGCGGCUUAUCAGCUUGUUGGUGGGGUAGUGGCUUACCAAGGCUUUGACGGGUAGCCGGCCUGAGAGGGUGACCGGCCACAUUGGGACUGAGAUACGGCCCAGACUCCUACGGGAGGCAGCAGUGGGGAAUAUUGCACAAUGGGCGGAAGCCUGAUGCAGCAACGCCGCGUGCGGGAUGACGGCCUUCGGGUUGUAAACCGCUUUCGCCUGUGACGAAGCGUGAGUGACGGUAAUGGGUAAAGAAGCACCGGCUAACUACGUG